rnacentral:rRNA from 1 species
CUGCACCUGAAAUCAAGCAAGA